rnacentral:ncRNA from 2 species
GUUAUCCUUCGGGGCGGGGCGCAAUUCCCCACCGGCGGUGUUGAGAUCAAGUUUGUAUAGGUCUCUAAGUCCGUGACCCGGCUAUGUGUUGUAUAAUCAUAGACGGUGGAUCUGGUGAGAAUCCGGAGCCGACAGUAUAGUCUGGAUGGGAGAGGGAUACA